UACGGAGGGGGCUAGCGUUGUUCGGAAUUACUGGGCGUAAAGCGCACGUAGGCGGCUUUGUAAGUUAGAGGUGGAAAGCCCGGGGCUCAACUCCGGAAUUGCCUUUAAGACUGCAUCGCUAGAAUUGUGGAGAGGUAAGUGGAAUUCCGAGUGUAGAGGUGAAAUUCGUAGAUAUUCGGAAGAACACCAGUGGCGAAGGCGACUUACUGGACACAUAUUGGACGCUGAGGUGCGAAAAGCGUGGGGAGCAAACAA
rnacentral:rRNA from 1 species